CGCGUAGGCUGUGCUGUAAGUCAGGCGUGAAAGGCCCGGGCUCAACCUGGGAACUGCGCAUGAUACUGCGGCGCUUGAAGGCGGGAGAGGAUGGCGGAAUUCCCAGUGUAGAGGUGAAAUUCGUAGAUAUUGGGAAGAACACCGGUGGCGAAGGCGGCCAUCCUGGCCCGUGAUUGACGCUGAGGCGCGAAAGCGUGGGGAGCAAACAGGAUUAGAUACCCUGGUAGUCCACGCCGUAAACGAUGAGUGCUAGACGUCGGGGAGCUUGCUCUUCGGUGUCGCCGCUAACGCAUUAAGCACUCCGCCUGGGGAGUACGGUCGCAAGAUUAAA
rnacentral:rRNA from 1 species